rnacentral:rRNA from 1 species
GAUGAACGCUGGCGGCGUGCCUAAUACAUGCAAGUCGAGCGAACAGACGAGGAGCUUGCUCCUCUGACGUUAGCGGCGGACGGGUGAGUAACACGUGGAUAACCUACCUAUAAGACUGGGAUAACUUCGGGAAACCGGAGCUAAUACCGGAUAAUAUAUUGAACCGCAUGGUUCAAUAGUGAAAGACGGUUUUGCUGUCACUUAUAGAUGGAUCCGCGCCGCAUUAGCUAGUUGGUAAGGUAACGGCUUACCAAGGCAACGAUGCGUAGCCGACCUGAGAGGGUGAUCGGCCACACUGGAACUGAGACACGGUCCAGACUCCUACGGGAGGCAGCAGUAGGGAAUCUUCCGCAAUGGGCGGAAGCCUGACGGAGCAACGCCGCGUGAGUGAUGAAGGUCUUCGGAUCGUAAAACUCUGUUAUUAGGGAAGAACAAAUGUUUAAGUAACUAUGCACGUCUUGACGGUACCUAAUCAGAAAGCCACGGCUAACUACGUG